UGUCCUCCUGCCUGGCCAGGAAAGGCGGGUCUGAUGAAGCUGUAUCCAUGGCCCAUCUUCAAGACAGAGGGAUUUACUCAGGGGCCUUCACGUCCCCACCUUCCCAGGUCCCCAGCUCUAGCUGUCCCCUUUCUCCAGGGGCCCCCAUGGCCUGCCCAGAGCUGGUCUAGGUGGGGACCAGCUCUGCCACCCAGUCUCCAGGCCACAUCUUGUGGUCAAGGCCUUGCUGGUCAGCCUGUGUAGGCCUGAGACUGACUUUGAGUCCUCCAUAGGGCAGGUCAGGAGGGGGCCUCGCUUCUGGACAGGGCAGGUGUGGAAGGCCGGGGCUCGCAUGGAUCUGACACUGUUGAUACCCUUCCUGGUGUUACUGCUGCUGUUACUAGGUCGAUUAGGGUGCGAACACCUGCAAGGCACCAGAGCUCACCCAAAACCGAAACAAGGACACCAAGGAGGUCCAGCCACCGGCCCACAGUCAUCAACAAAAUGAAGAGGCCGCCCAUGCGCACCAGCACCGUCUGGACCUGGCCCUGCAGGCUGAAGCGAUGUUGCCUCUGCUCCUCUGCGGGAAGUGUCUGUCACUGCCUCAGCCGACGCCCUCCGGAGGUCAGCUGGGGCCAGCCUGUUCCACUUCUCAACUGCCUUCCCCAGGGACAGUAUCACCUUCCCGGACCGCCUCUCUGCUUCCCGGCUUCCCUCCCGGGGCACCCACGAGACUUACUGCCCACCCUUCAGUCUCCCCCUGGUUGAGGACAGAGCCCUUGCCAGUCGGUGGCAAGAACCUAAGACUCUUCCCUUCACGCCGGUGGGCCUGAUCAUCCGCAGCCCAGUCCCCUUCUGCCUACCACAUGCCCUGCUCUCUCUCGCCCCACCCAGGUCCCAGCCACCUUCCCCUCUUGCUGAAGCUAAUUCAUGGGGCUCUUGAUUUCUGUUCUUGAGCAAGCUCUACUGACCAGCUAAAGUGACCUAAACGUGUCAAUAAGAUGACAUCAUUCCUCUGCUCAGAAGGCUCCCAGGACUUCCUAUGGCUUUUAGAGUAGAAUUCAAUCAAAGCCUUGUCUGAUGAGGUCAGGCUUGACUGGGCCCAAGCCCACUUCCCCAUCCUCACCCCAUCUCUGACCCAUGCUCCCCUUUCUUACAGAGCCAGACAUUCUGGCUUCCCAUUUUGCAUAAGCUUGCCCUAGCUUAUUCCCACCUCAGGGUUUUCACACUUGUGGUUCCUACCACCUUUCCUUGCUCUGCCAUGGCCAACCAAUUCCCAGUCUGCAGCCGGGAGGCUCUUCCCAGAGGCCAGAUCUGAUCCCUCACUCUUUUCCACGCUCUCCUGCUUAGGACCCUGCCCCCCAGCCUGGCUGGCCGGGGCUCUGGACCAGGCCUUUCUGAAGUUGGCCAGCCUUGCCCUAAUCCCUGUUGCCCUUGGAGUAACAACCCUGAACUACUCAGUGCUUCUGCAUGGCCAUGCCCUCACUCACUCUCUGCUUCGGCAGGUAUUUCUCCUUCCCACAAUCCCUUUCACCUUGCCACCAGCCCAGCCCAGGUACCAGCUCUUUAGGGCUCCUAUGUCACAUCGCUGCUUUGAACAGCCCACAGUAGAAUACAAAUCCUGUCCCUGGACUGGGUGGCUGGGACAACAAGGGGAGUGUGUGUGGCCAACAGAAGGGACCCCAGCCCCGGGGCUCUCACCCUGCAUGUAGAUGACCAGCAGCGUGUAGCAGAUGGUGAGUGGCGUCCAGAAGCGCAUGGCCUCUGAUGUGCUCAGGAAGUCCUGGUUGAUGAGGGCCACCGCUGCCAGGUCACUCACAGCAAAGGCCACCGCCAGAGCACGGCCCAGAAGCCUGGGCAGGCCAUGCUGGCCAGCCAGCAGGCCCAGGCAGACCCCACAGUAACGCUGACUGCUGUGUAGCUCAUAGAGGCUGCAGACGUGUUGGCGGAAGCGCCGGGCACCCACGCCAAACAGCGCAGCCAGCCCCAGGCUCAGCAGCAGGUUCAGGGUGCGAUGUGGGGCGCCUUCCUGUAGGAAGCUCAGGCCACAGGUCAGCCCACAGCCCAGUGAGAACUGACAGACCAGGAAGAGCUGGAGUCGCUCCUUCUCCCCCGAGCCCUGCAGGGAAAGGGAGUCCAGGGUAACAAACUACAAUCUCUGGUCUCCAUCUGAAGGAAGCGCGGACCCCACGAAGCCCUACUUCCCAAUCCAGAGGAUGAAAGCGGCCCAGACUGGCCCCACCCCGCAGUCUCACCUUGCCCAGGGACAACACUGUGGACACAGCCCGGAGGGAGAACUCCAGUACCACCAGGGCGGCUACUCGGGCCCCUACCACCGUCAGGAACAGGGUCAGACCAGCCAGGUGCACUGUCUCCAAGAGACCAGAUUCCGCGCAGUGACCAACUGCCCGGGCAGGGCUGGGUGGCACCGAUGUGGGCACUCACUUGACACAGGCCACGAAGAAGUAAACUUUCAGGAGACUGUUGAGAACCGAGACUCCAAGGGCGGCGAUCAGGCCUGAGCCGGACAAAGGGGAGGACUUCAAGCUCACCAUGCCUCCCUAAAGUCCGUCUGUCUGCUCACCUGGCCUUCCCAGACUCAGGUGUGGCCCGCACUCAACCUGAAGAUCUCCCGGAGGGUGGCUGCAGUCUGGAGCAAAGGCCCAGAGGCUGUCGUUGGCCCUGCUCUGGCACUGCCCGGUGACUUGCGUGGGCAGGCGCCCUCUUACCUGGGCUCCCAUCUCCUGAGCCCCUCUGGAUGUUCACAAAUGGGAAGCCCUCAAUAAAGCCUGAACUCAGGGAUGCUCCCAGACCCACGCUGAGGCCCUAACCCAAGUCCCUCAGGAGGUGUCUGUGGAGACAGUGGCAGCCAUCUCUAAUUUAACAUGCGGUCCCUGUGCCGACCCUAUCCAAUAGAACUGAAUUCCCGUCUCUUCUCCCUCUCCCUUCCCCUCCCCUCCCUCUGCCUAUCCCUUUCUCUAUCCAUCUUUCUCCCCCCCUUCUCUGCUCUGCUCCUCUCUCCCCCCUCACCCCUCUGCCUCUCAUGGAGUCCAGGCUGGCCUCAAACUCACUAUGUAGCUGAAAAUGAACUCCUGAGCCUCCUGGCUCCACCUCCGAAGUGCUGAGAUUACAGGCCUGUGCCGUUGUGCCCAGUUUAUUCGGUGGUGGGGAUGGAACCCGGGGCCUCAUGAGUCCCGGGCAGGCGUUCUGCUGACUGACCUGUCCCCAGUCUGGUAAAAGCUGAUGUGGUUCCAACACACGGAGAAGAUGGUAAGCGCUGGGAAGAAGCCUCUCAAGGAGAGAAGUCUCUGGAGAAGUCAGCCCUGGGCUGAGGGUGUAGGUCCCAGAUCAUGUGACUAACAUGUCCAGACCCUGGUUCCACCACAGUACCACAAAUAACAGAAAUAAAAGGAGAGAGAGAGAGAC